rnacentral:rRNA from 1 species
UACGUAGGGUGCAAGCGUUAAUCGGAAUUACUGGGCGUAAAGCGUGCGCAGGCGGUUUUGUAAGUCUGACGUGAAAUCCCCGGGCUCAACCUGGGAAUUGCGUUGGAGACUGCAAGGCUGGAGUCUGGCAGAGGGGGGGUAGAAUUCCACGUGUAGCAGUGAAAUGCGUAGAGAUGUGGAGGAACACCGAUGGCGAAGGCAGCCCCCUGGGUCAAGACUGACGCUCAUGCACGAAAGCGUGGGGAGCAAACAGG